rnacentral:tRNA from 1 species
GUAUGGUGGUUCAGUGGUAGAAUUCUCACCUUGCAGGAGACCUGGGUUCGAUUCCCAGCCAGUGCA